rnacentral:rRNA from 1 species
UACGAAGGGGGCGAGCGUUGUUCGGAUUUACUGGGCGUAAAGGGCGCGCAGGCGGCUUUGUUUGUCAGGCGUGAAAGCCCCGGGCUUAACCUGGGAACUGCGUUUGAUACGGCAGGGCUAGAGUUCGGGAGAGGAGAGUGGAAUUCCCAGUGUAGAGGUGAAAUUCGUAGAUAUUGGGAAGAACACCGGUGGCGAAGGCGGCUCACUGGCCCGAUACUGACGCUGAGGUGCGAAAGCGUGGGGAGCAAACAGG